rnacentral:rRNA from 1 species
UACGAAGGGUGCAAACGUUGCUCGGAAUUAUUGGGCGUAAAGAGCUCGUAGGCGGUCUGUCGCGUCGGCUGUGAAAUCCCGAGGCUCAACCUCGGGUCUGCAGUCGAUACGGGCAAACUGGAGUGUUGCAGGGGAGACUGGAAUUCCUGGUGUAGCGGUGAAAUGCGCAGAUAUCAGGAGGAACACCGGUGGCGAAGGCGGGUCUCUGGGCAACAACUGACGCUGAGGAGCGAAAGCGUGGGGAGCGAACAGG